rnacentral:rRNA from 1 species
UACGAAGGGAGCUAGCGUUGUUCGGAAUCACUGGGCGUAAAGCGCGCGUAGGCGGCUAUACAAGUCAGGGGUGAAAUGCCAAGGCUUAACCUUGGAACUGCCUUUGAAACUGUAUAGCUCGAGUAUUGGAGGGGAUAGCGGAAUUGCUAAUGUAGAGGUGAAAUUCGUAGAUAUUAGCAGGAACACCGGUGGCGAAGGCGGCUAUCUGGACAAUUACUGACGCUGAGGCGCGAAAGCGUGGGGAUCAAACAGG